rnacentral:rRNA from 1 species
GAUGAACGCUGGCGGCGUGCCUAAUGCAUGCAAGUCGAACGAAACUUCUUUAUCACCGAGUGCUUGCACUCACCGAUAAAGAGUUGAGUGGCGAACGGGUGAGUAACACGUGGGCAACCUGCCCAAAAGAGGGGGAUAACACUUGAAAACAGGUGCUAAUACCGCAUAACCAUAGUUACCGCAUGGUAACUAUGUAAAAGGUGGCUAUACUACCGCUUUUGGAUGGGCCCGCGGCGCAUUAGCUAGUUGGUAGGGUAAAGGCUUACCAAGGCAAUGAUGCGUAGCCGAAUUGAGAGGUUGAUCGGCCACAUUGGGACUGAGACACGGCCCAAACUCCUACGGGAGGCAGCAGUAGGGAAUCUUCCACAAUGGGCGAAAGCCUGAUGGAGCAACGCCGCGUGGGUGAAGAAGGUCUUCGGAUCGUAAAACCCUGUUGUUAGAGAAGAAAGUGCGUGAGAGUAACUGUUCACGUUUCGACGGUAUCUAACCAGAAAGCCACGGCUAACUACGUG